rnacentral:lncRNA from 1 species
UAUUUGACCAUUCAUUGCUUUCUCACCUGUAUUAUAAACGCUGAGGCUAGAGACCUUAGAUUAAUUCCACUCUCCAGCCAUUGCAAAAUCUAGUUUAUUUGUAAGUUUGUAUGUAUUAAAGGGCAGUGUUGCAUGGAGGCAUUUGUUGAAGACUUGGAACUCAAUGGAUUUAUGACAAAAGAUAAAAGAAAAUGAACAGGGUUGGGACAGCAGUAAGUGACAGAAGGAAGCCCAAUGAAACAUACUCAGAGGUGUGGAGACAGAACCAGGAGGGGGCAGCACACGAAAGAAAAAUGUCUGAGAAGGAGAGAUUGGCACCCAGUCUUUAUUGAUUCAGAGGUUGAGGCAGAUGUGUAUGAGAACAUAUAUUAUUUUUAUCAUAAACGAGAGGAUAUAAAAACUUUACGUAGCAGACUGUAUAUAAAAGAACUCACUCUUCCAUUCAGAUUUGCGGAAAUAUUUAUUGAGUGCUUACUGGAUGCCAGACACUAUGCAUAUUAUCUCGUCAUAUUAUAAACAGCGCUGGUCCAAACUUCUGCAGUGGACGUCAUUGCAGGUGAUCUCUGGGGCCCUGGAUGCCAUUCAGAAAUUGGGAGUUUUGUUAUUUCAUGUCACAUUAAGGAGCACAUGGUAUUCGUUUUCCUGGAAAUCUAACUAAGCCCAGAUGUCUGAUUGUGCCUUCUAACAUGUGAAUGGAACUACCAAACAAGGGCUACCUUUCUUCUCAUCCUCUCACAUGCUUUGACCAUAGGCUUGAGUGUUGAAAUUCUUUUUUAAAAGAUGGCUUAAAAGAAUCCUUAUGGGAGUUCUCCUUGUGGCUCAGUGGGUUAAGGACCCAACAUAGUCUCCAUGAGGAUGUGGGCUCAAUUCCUGGUCUCGCUCAGUGGGUUAUGGAUCUGGCAUUGCUGUGAGCUGUGGCAUAGGUCACAGCUGCAGCUGCAAUUCGACACCUAGCCUGGGAACUUCCAUAUGCUAUGGAUGCAUCUAUAAAAAGAAAAAUAAUCCUCACAGAAAGAAGUGAGUGUCUCAUUUCUAAUUCAUAACCGAUAGUAUGUUGUCCAAAUAUCAUGCAAAACCAGCCAGUUUUCUCUUGUCUAAACCCAGGGGUCUUAGCUGAUUAGAGAUAACCACAGCUCUUUUGAAACACACAUAGAUGUUUUUGGAUCCUGCUUCUUAUUUCCUACCUAAGAGUAUAUUGAGAAACAAAAGAUUUAAAUGUCCCCAUGUAAUGACUGGGAGCUGUAUUUUCCUAAAAUUCCCAUUGGGCUAGGAAGCUUAUAAUGAGACUUGGCAAAUUCACUUGAAUGAAUCUCAUUUGUUACUUCAGGUCAAUAAACAUCUUAAGCAGUCUAGGACCUGCAACACUCUCUUUGUCAUGUCCCAUAACUUCUAAGAAGGGCUCUCCCUGGAGAACGGUUAAGCAAAAGACAUGUUAUUCCUGGAGUUCCUGUUGUGGCUCAGCAGUAAUAAACCUGACUAGUAUCCAUGAAGAUGCAAGUCCAAUCCCUGGCCCUGUUCAGUGAGUUAAGGAUCCAGUGUUGAUGUGAGCUGCGGCAUAUUUCACAGACACAGCUUGGAUCCCAAGUUGCUGUGGCUUUGGUAUAGGCCAGCAGCUGUAGCUCCAAUUUGACCCCUAGCCUGGGAACCUCCAUUUUCUGCAGGUACAACCCUAAAAAGACCAAAAAAAAAGGGGGGGGAGGAAUGUAAUCCUUUAAGUCUUAACAUAGGACAUACUUGAGUAAAAAAAUUUUUUUUUUUGUCUUUUUUUUGCUAUUUCUUGGGCCACUCACUGAGCAAGGGCAGGGACCGAACCCACAACCUCAUGAUUCCUAGUCGGAUUCAUUAACCACUGUGCCACAACAGGAACUCUGUUGAGUAAAAAUUUUUAAAAACCUAGAGGAGUUCCCGCUGUGGCUCAGUGGGAUGUUGUCUGUGAGGAUGCAGGUUUGAUCCCUGGUCUUGCUCAGCAGGUUAAGGAUCCAGCCUUACCACAAACUGUGACCUAGGUUCCAUAUGGGGCUUGGAUCUAGUGUUGCCAUGGCUGUGGCAUAGACAGAAGUUGCAGUACCGAUUCAACCCUGGCCUAGGAACUGCCAUAUACCACAGCUGUGGCCUUAAAAAGAAAAAGAAAAAAACCUAGGGAUUUCCCUUGUGGCAUUGUCACUUCAGGUAACUUGUAGCACAGGUUUGAUCCCUGGCUCAGGAAAUUCCGCACUCCUUGGGCAUGGCCAAAAUAAGGGAGAAAAAAACAUUUUUUUAAAAAAUACCUAAAGAAUGAAUCCAUUUGGUGAUCAGGUAUUUUCUUAUAAAAGCUAAAAAUACAUUAGGCAAACUUGUAAAAUUGACCUCAUUAACUUCUUGCAAUUGCAUACACAUUAAUAGGAUUUUUAUUAUUAAUUCUUCUAAUUUGUUGAUAGUAGGCUCCAAAAGGGGUCUUAUUAUUUUUUGGAGUCUAGCUAUGUGUUGAUGAGACCCAUUAAGCAUAAUAGAAUCUGGCAAUUUAUCAUCCAGAUUAAAAGCCCUUUCAGUGUACCCUCUGUUUACCCUUUAUAUGUAGAGGCGCCUCCUGGGCAUCAAUCAAAAGCUAGGUGUAAUUUCCCAGAUUUCUCAGUAACAGAAUCUCUGCGUGGGUAGGCAUGUCCUUCCUGUCCUGCACUGCCCUUUCUCCUCCCCACAUUACAUGAAUACCUAAUUCUUUUCAGGACUUUGUAUAAAAUACACAGAGUUAAGCUGUUUGGGUAAAUGCAAUCUUGCCUUUUUUAUCAUUUUUUUUCUCAAGCCUUUUCUGGUCCUAUUUCUUCCCUUGAGCCUUGUUCUGCAGGGAACUCUCAGAAAUCAAUGCCCUUUACAAAUGCUAAAUGUCUCUUUCUUGCUAUGAAUGGGACAUUAGUCCCCUAAGGUCUCCUGUCUUUCCCCAUCAUGAGUAAUGGGAUUGUAAUUUCAUCAAGGUCUCUGAUGACAUCAAAACCCCUACCAGUGAAAGGUUAAGUGGAUUUGGAUAUCACCUGAUCUCUGAGAUGAAAUUCAAACCACUGUCUAUGUAAAGGGUAAGAGGCAGUGGGGUCUCAGCUAAACUGGCCACUCUGAUCCAGUAGAGGUGUUGCCCAGACCAGAUGAAGAUAAUACAUCAUUUCUUAAGAAACACUUCAGAUAAAAUAUAAAAUACCUAAGCAGGCACGGGGAAGACACAAUUAGUUGUAUUUUAGUCCAUGCUCCAUGUUUAUAAUCUCCUGUUCCUUCCUUCCCUCCUUCCUGUGCCAGCACAAAGACAACGCCAGAUCAUUAACCCACUGCACCACAGCUGGAACUCCAUCCUUACGGUUUUCUUGAAGAAAGCUGUCCAUGGCUUCUGUUUUUUCCACAUCAAAUCUAAACCACUCUUUCCUUCUUUCGAAGCCUCCCACAAUCCAGUCCUCUUCCCUUUCCUCCCCAGCACCUACAGACUUAUUCUAUCAUCAAUCCUUGGUCAUGAAGUCUGGUUAUGCGUUAUCCCCCCCAGCCAUCUUAGCCUUUUCAGAGCACAUCUAUCUUUUACCUAGGAAGCCUUCUUUGGUACUUCUGUCUUAUCUUCUACUCUCUGUAUUCAGAGGGAUUUGUGAUAUGUCUGGUGUAAUGUUAUAUGUUAUUCUCUUUUAUUUGAGAUUUAUAUGUACUCCCUACCCCCAACACAAAUACACACACACAUUUCUUAAAGUAUUUGCAGCAGUUACUUAAGUAGAUAGUAUCUUAUAAUAGUUGACCAUUGCUUCCUACUUAUAUUUCUUAUUUCCUCUCCCUGUCCUGAGAGUCAUUAGCUCUCAGGACAGGGAUCAUACUUCCUGCUUCAUUUUGAAGUAUGGCAUGGAAAAAUGGAGAGGACACAGGGACUAGGGGUCAAAGGACUUGAGUUCAAAUGUAAUUUUGCUACAAAUUAAUAGUGUGACUUUGGUGAAUUAUUGGAACCCUGAGGGACAAAAUUAUAUAUAUACAUUCUUAAUAAUUACAUUUUCCAUCAAGGAAAGAGCUUUUUUCCCCACAAAAUUAAUACACUCUCAUUGUAAAAAAAAUUCUCAUAGUAAAAAACCUCACAUAAUAAACACCUAAAGAAGAAAUUUUAAAAAUCAACUGAAUUUGCACUACGCUGAGAUAGAUCCUGUAUUUACAUUCUAGCAUUUGUCAUUUUAUAUUGAUUUUUCUUAUCCAAGUGCUCACAUGGGUAAGAGACCUAUCUAUCCAUCUAGCCAUCUAUCUCACUCUCUAUUUAAUUUAUGGCGAAGACACUUCUUAGCAGCUUUUCUUACUUAAUGUAAACAUACUUGACUUCACAAAAUUAUUAUGGCAUCAUAUGAUAUUAAAGCAUAUAGAGUCCCUUCUCAAAAAUGCACUUUAGAGAAGGAUAUAGAAAUAUACAUACAAUACUGACUGCUGAAAGAGAUGUAUCAUCUCCAAUGUAUUACCUUCGAUAAGAUAUUCCUACCUUUGGUACAGAAACUUUCAUUGAACCCUGACUUCCUCAUUGAACCUUUGCUUGCUGGCUUCAGUUCCGUGGAUGGGGCUGAGGGCUCCACUUGCAGCAUCUCGUGAGCUCCAGGUUUGCCUCAACCUCAGGGAGGCACAGUCCCUUAGCUACAAUCCUAACAUCCAAAAUGCUCUAAAACCCUAAAAUUUUCUUUCUUUCUUUUUUUUUUUUAAAGGUUUGGUCCAACUCAAUCCACAGAAAAACCUGAUGUAAACUAGUGUGGGCAACCUAUAGUUCUUGCAUAAUUUAUCUGGUGCAAACAUUUACAUUUCACUUCAAAAUAUGAAUAUAUUUGGAAUUCCCAUUGUGGCUCAGCAGGUUAAUAAGCCAACAUAGUGUCCAUGAGGAUGUGGAUUUGAUCUCUGGCCCCUAUCAGUGGGUUAAGGAUCUGGCAUUGCUACAAGCUGAGGUGUAGGUUGCAGAUGUGGCUAGGAUCCAGCAUUGCUGUGGCUGUUGUGUAGACCUGCACCUGCAGCUCUGAUUUGACAUCCAGCCUAGGAACUUCCAUACGCCACAGUUGCGACCCUAGAAAGAAAAAAAAUAAAUGUAUUUGACUAUGAGUACCUGCCCAAGUCUUCCCUGGGAGUGAUGCAUAAUACAGAAUACACAUUCUCUAUUAACUCACUAAUAAAUACAAACUCUCCUAGAUUCCAAAACACAUCUGGUACAAAGAGUUUUGCAUAGCAGAUUGUAGCCUGGUCCUAAAUUUAAGAGAUCUGUGAUCCCUGUGGCUAAAGUCAGCACUUUGUUUUUCUGGUUCAGGAUCAUUAAAAAUAAAUAAGGGUGUUGGGCAUCACAGCUGCGGUUUUCAAACUUGUAUUUUCUUUUUGGGCUUCAGAAAACACCUUCAAAUAAAAUCUUACCUAGAAAACCAGCCUGUUGCUGAGGUUCAAGUCUAGUUCCUCCCCUUGGGGGGAAGCCCAGAGAUUAGGGUCUGCUGGGUCCUUCCUCCACCCACCUCAAGGUCAUCUCUGCUCUGGUGAAAAUAGUUGCAGUGAAAGUUGAGCGUUGUGACUCAGCAGUAAGGAACCCAACUAGUAUCCAUGAGGAUUUGGGUUCAAUUCCUGGCCUUGCUCAGUGGGUUAAGGAUCCAGCGUUGCACGGGCUGUGCUGUAGGUCAUAGAUGUGGCUCAAAUCCCACAUGGUUGUGGCUAUGGCUGUGGCAUAGGCCAGCAGCUACAGCUCUGAUUCCACCCCUAGACUGAGAACUUCCUUGUGCUGCAC